ensembl:ncRNA R13F6.11 ncRNA
AGUUAACCUUCUUGUUCUUCUUUCUUUCCAUGAACGGAAAGCUCUAGUGCUCCGGAGAAGAUUAAUUUUGUGUCAAAGUCGUCGCCGCCGUCGUGCUCAAUUCGAAAGAAAAGCGAAUCUUUUAAAAGUUACUCUCUUCUUUC